GGGUUGUGAGGUUAAGCGACUAAGCGUACACGGUGGAUGCCCUGGCAGUCAGAGGCGAUGAAGGACGUGCUAAUCUGCGAUAAGCGUCGGUAAGGUGAUAUGAACCGUUAUAACCGGCGAUUUCCGAAUGGGGAAACCCAGUGUGAUUCGUCACACUAUCAUUAACUGAAUCCAUAGGUUAAUGAGGCGAACCGGGGGAACUGAAACAUCUAAGUACCCCGAGGAAAAGAAAUCAACCGAGAUUCCCCCAGUAGCGGCGAGCGAACGGGGAGCAGCCCAGAGCCUGAAUCAGUGUGUGUGUUAGUGGAAGCGUCUGGAAAGGCGCGCGAUACAGGGUGACAGCCCCGUACACAAAAAUACACAUACUGUGAGCUCGAUGAGUAGGGCGGGACACGUGGUAUCCUGUCUGAAUAUGGGGGGACCAUCCUCCAAGGCUAAAUACUCCUGACUGACCGAUAGUGAACCAGUACCGUGAGGGAAAGGCGAAAAGAACCCCGGCGAGGGGAGUGAAAAAGAACCUGAAACCGUGUACGUACAAGCAGUGGGAGCACAGAGCAAUCUGUGUGACUGCGUACCUUUUGUAUAAUGGGUCAGCGACUUAUAUUCUGUAGCAAGGUUAACCGAAUAGGGGAGCCGAAGGGAAACCGAGUCUUAACUGGGCGUUAAGUUGCAGGGUAUAGACCCGAAACCCGGUGAUCUAGCCAUGGGCAGGUUGAAGGUUGGGUAACACUAACUGGAGGACCGAACCGACUAAUGUUGAAAAAUUAGCGGAUGACUUGUGGCUGGGGGUGAAAGGCCAAUCAAACCGGGAGAUAGCUGGUUCUCCCCGAAAGCUAUUUAGGUAGCGCCUCGUGAAUUCAUCUCCGGGGGUAGAGCACUGUUUCGGCAAGGGGGUCAUCCCGACUUACCAACCCGAUGCAAACUGCGAAUACCGGAGAAUGUUAUCACGGGAGACACACGGCGGGUGCUAACGUCCGUCGUGAAGAGGGAAACAACCCAGACCGCCAGCUAAGGUCCCAAAGUCAUGGUUAAGUGGGAAACGAUGUGGGAAGGCCCAGACAGCCAGGAUGUUGGCUUAGAAGCAGCCAUCAUUUAAAGAAAGCGUAAUAGCUCACUGGUCGAGUCGGCCUGCGCGGAAGAUGUAACGGGGCUAAACCAUGCACCGAAGCUGCGGCAGCGACACUAUGUGUUGUUGGGUAGGGGAGCGUUCUGUAAGCCUGUGAAGGUGUACUGUGAGGUAUGCUGGAGGUAUCAGAAGUGCGAAUGCUGACAUAAGUAACGAUAAAGCGGGUGAAAAGCCCGCUCGCCGGAAGACCAAGGGUUCCUGUCCAACGUUAAUCGGGGCAGGGUGAGUCGACCCCUAAGGCGAGGCCGAAAGGCGUAGUCGAUGGGAAACAGGUUAAUAUUCCUGUACUUGGUGUUACUGCGAAGGGGGGACGGAGAAGGCUAUGUUGGCCGGGCGACGGUUGUCCCGGUUUAAGCGUGUAGGCUGGUUUUCCAGGCAAAUCCGGAAAAUCAAGGCUGAGGCGUGAUGACGAGGCACUACGGUGCUGAAGCAACAAAUGCCCUGCUUCCAGGAAAAGCCUCUAAGCAUCAGGUAACAUCAAAUCGUACCCCAAACCGACACAGGUGGUCAGGUAGAGAAUACCAAGGCGCUUGAGAGAACUCGGGUGAAGGAACUAGGCAAAAUGGUGCCGUAACUUCGGGAGAAGGCACGCUGAUAUGUAGGUGAAGUCCCUCGCGGAUGGAGCUGAAAUCAGUCGAAGAUACCAGCUGGCUGCAACUGUUUAUUAAAAACACAGCACUGUGCAAACACGAAAGUGGACGUAUACGGUGUGACGCCUGCCCGGUGCCGGAAGGUUAAUUGAUGGGGUCAGCGCAAGCGAAGCUCUUGAUCGAAGCCCCGGUAAACGGCGGCCGUAACUAUAACGGUCCUAAGGUAGCGAAAUUCCUUGUCGGGUAAGUUCCGACCUGCACGAAUGGCGUAAUGAUGGCCAGGCUGUCUCCACCCGAGACUCAGUGAAAUUGAACUCGCUGUGAAGAUGCAGUGUACCCGCGGCAAGACGGAAAGACCCCGUGAACCUUUACUAUAGCUUGACACUGAACAUUGAGCCUUGAUGUGUAGGAUAGGUGGGAGGCUUGGAAGUGUGGACGCCAGUCUGCAUGGAGCCGACCUUGAAAUACCACCCUUUAAUGUUUGAUGUUCUAACGUUGACCCGUAAUCCGGGUUGCGGACAGUGUCUGGUGGGUAGUUUGACUGGGGCGGUCUCCUCCUAAAGAGUAACGGAGGAGCACGAAGGUUGGCUAAUCCUGGUCGGACAUCAGGAGGUUAGUGCAAUGGCAUAAGCCAGCUUGACUGCGAGCGUGACGGUGCGAGCAGGUGCGAAAGCAGGUCAUAGUGAUCCGGUGGUUCUGAAUGGAAGGGCCAUCGCUCAACGGAUAAAAGGUACUCCGGGGAUAACAGGCUGAUACCGCCCAAGAGUUCAUAUCGACGGCGGUGUUUGGCACCUCGAUGUCGGCUCAUCACAUCCUGGGGCUGAAGUAGGUCCCAAGGGUAUGGCUGUUCGCCAUUUAAAGUGGUACGCGAGCUGGGUUUAGAACGUCGUGAGACAGUUCGGUCCCUAUCUGCCGUGGGCGCUGGAGAACUGAGGGGGGCUGCUCCUAGUACGAGAGGACCGGAGUGGACGCAUCACUGGUGUUCGGGUUGUCAUGCCAAUGGCACUGCCCGGUAGCUAAAUGCGGAAGAGAUAAGUGCUGAAAGCAUCUAAGCACGAAACUUGCCCCGAGAUGAGUUCUCCCUGACUCCUUGAGAGUCCUGAAGGAACGUUGAAGACGACGACGUUGAUAGGCCGGGUGUGUAAGCGCAGCGAUGCGUUGAGCUAACCGGUACUAAUGAACCGUGAGGCUUAACCUUACAACGCCGAAG
rnacentral:rRNA from 1 species